GAACGCUGGCGGCAGGCCUAACACAUGCAAGUCGAGCGGUAACAUUUCAAAAGCUUGCUUUUGAAGAUGACGAGCGGCGGACGGGUGAGUAAUGCCUGGGAAUUUGCCCAUUUGUGGGGGAUAACAGUUGGAAACGACUGCUAAUACCGCAUACGCCCUACGGGGGAAAGCAGGGGACCUUCGGGCCUUGCGCUGAUGGAUAAGCCCAGGUGGGAUUAGCUAGUAGGUGAGGUAAAGGCUCACCUAGGCGACGAUCCCUAGCUGGUCUGAGAGGAUGAUCAGCCACACUGGGACUGAGACACGGCCCAGACUCCUACGGGAGGCAGCAGUGGGGAAUAUUGCACAAUGGGGGAAACCCUGAUGCAGCCAUGCCGCGUGUGUGAAGAAGGCCUUACGGGUUGUAAAGCACUUUCAGCGAGGAGGAAAGGGUGUAAGUUAAUACCUUACAUCCUGUGACGUUACUCGCAGAAGAA
rnacentral:rRNA from 1 species